UACAGAGGUCCCAAGCGUUGUUCGGAUUCACUGGGCGUAAAGGGUGCGUAGGUGGUCGGGUAAGUCCGAUGUGAAAUCUCCAGGCUCAACUGGAAAUGGCAUUGGAUACUAUUCGGCUUGAGGAGUGGAGGGGGGACUGGAAUUCUCGGUGUAGCAGUGAAAUGCGUAGAUAUCGAGAGGAACACCAGUGGCGAAGGCGAGUCCCUGGACACUUCCUGACACUGGAGGCAACGAAAGCUAGGGGAGCAAACAGG
rnacentral:rRNA from 1 species